rnacentral:lncRNA from 1 species
GGGAUUUGUUCCAGCAUCCUGGCAUGCUCUGUCAUGCUCAAACCUCCUUCCAUUCAUCCUGUCAAUGAACAGCUACCACUGCCUCACACCCUCUUGGAGUCUGGCCAUUUAUCCAGCUUUUAUGGAAGGCAGAACUGACCAGAUCCAAGCAACAUCAAGAGCUUGCUGAAGCUUAGCUCUGUACCAUCCAGUCUGUGGUCCCCAUUUGGCAGUACCAUUCCUCUGACUAAAGGAAUCUUGUCAAGUCAUAAAGACCCAUCACAGCAAGGUGAAAACUUGGCCCAGAGAUUAAGUGCUUUGCUGGCCUUCAGAAAAUGUGAAGCAGAGACAGGUGAUGAACUCAAGUCACUUGGCGUCCUGUUAGAUCUUCUGUUACCCAAGCUGCCAGCCUGCCUUGUGGGAAACUCAGCAAGAAAUAUGGGUAAUGAACCUGCCCAAGUGCAUGGAAGAAUGGCUCUGCUGCUAAACAGCAAAGGAAAUAGUGUCAUCUGCACAGUGAAACACCCUGAGACCUACAGCACUAAGAACCUGCUACCAGUACCACCAGGGAGAAAAUGUUUGCCAAGCAGCCAUCAAGUGCUUUUUCAAAGUUCUGCCACACCACAUCCAUCUUUCUUCCAGCUGCAGAGACCUCCCACCUUCUCACUCCAUGAAGGGGAUGGAAGAUCCAGCCCCAGGCAAGUGGAUGGGGUUAACCUGUGGAUUCUUCUAGUGCCAGGUUUUAAUCAAAGAGCUGGAGUUAUGCCAGAGCCAGUCAGCUGUGGUGGUGGGUGUGUGAGAGUCUAGCACAUCUUGAUUAUUAGGGGCAUUAAGAAAGCCAUUCAGAAUUUAGCGAUCUCAAACAGCACUAAGUAGGGUGUUAGAAGAUGAAAUGCUUAAUGGGAGGGAGAUGAAGGCCAAGCAGGAAGGACAGAGAAUACAAAUGUCCCAGGGAUUGGACAUGUGCUUGUGGGUCAGCAUUGCCUGGAGCACCUCAGUGUCCAUUUCCUCUGUCUUCAACCUACAAAACUGGUUUGCANNNNNNNNNNNNNNNNNNNNNNNNNAGCUAAUGUUCCCUUUAAUACCCAUCUUGGUUCUCCUUUUCUUAAUUUCUUUUUAUUUUCUUCUUCUUUUUUUCUUUUUUUUUUCUCAGACUUUACAAACCUGUAUGAACAAUAAAACUAGGUAUUGUUUUAUAAGGGACUGCCUC